UUCUGUACAUAUGGUUGUUAUCUGGAUACUCGCUGGAGCGAGUGGUGUAGUAGACAUUUUGUAUGUACUGGAACCUCUCGAGGUUUUAUAUAUAUGCUAUUUUCAGUUUAGCAGCUCUUUACCUUGUGAUUGUAGCUUAGUUUUGUUUACAGGUACAGCUAUCGUUUCGUAUACAAGAAAAAUUUCUAUGUAUACGGCGGGUCUGUUGGCGUGUUCGGAAAAACGUAUAAUCCGGG
rnacentral:lncRNA from 1 species